rnacentral:rRNA from 1 species
AUUCCAGCUCCAAUAGCGUAUAUUUAAGUUGCUGCAGUUAAAAAGCUCGUAGUUGGAUUUCGGGUGGGAAUGGCCGGUCCGCCGUUUCGGUGUGCACUUGCUAGUCCCACCUUGCUGCCGGGGACGUGCUCUUGGGUUUCGGCUCGGGACACGGAGUCGGCGAGGUUACUUUGAGUAAAUUAGAGUGUUCAAAGCAGGCCUACGCUCUGAAUACAUUAGCAUGGAAUAACACGAUAGGACUCUGGCCUAUCUUGUUGGUCUGUAGGACCGGAGUAAUGAUUAAGAGGGACAGUCGGGGGCAUUCGUAUUUCAUUGUCAGAGGUGAAAUUCUUGGAUUUAUGAAAGACGAACUACUGCGAAAGCAUUUGCCAAGGAUGUUUUCAUCA